rnacentral:rRNA from 1 species
UACGUAGGGGGCAAGCGUUGUCCGGAAUCAUUGGGCGUAAAGAGCGUGUAGGCGGCCCGGUAAGUCCGCUGUGAAAGUCCAGGGCUCAACCCUGGAAUGCCGGUGGAAACUGUCGGGCUAGAGUCCGGAAGAGGCGAGUGGAAUUCCUGGUGUAGCGGUGAAAUGCGCAGAUAUCAGGAGGAACACCAAUGGCGAAGGCAGCUCGCUGGGACGGUACUGACGCUGAGACGCGAAAAGCGUGGGGAGCAAACAGG